rnacentral:lncRNA from 1 species
GUUUAUCCGUCCUGUAUGUUCUCCCAUUUAUUUUUAUUGUAGUCCUGUCGUGUAAUACUGUCAUUUUAAUGUUAUAUUUAACAUUGCCAUACAAGCAGAUGGUUUGGCUAGCCACAAAAACCAGGUUCAACCCACCAUUUUUUCUAAAAAUGAUCUGUACCAAGUCAGGAAAAUGGCCAUUGUUAUAUUAUAGUUCGAUUCUGUGUGUGUUUCAUUAAAGUGUUUUUUCUGUUGUGUCGUUGUUCUCCUCUUUUAUUUGAUGUGUUUCCCUCAGUUUUUGUAUCUAACCCGGAUUUGUUUUUUCCUCAAUCGAUUUAUGUAUUUCGAACAGCGGUAUACUACUGUUUCCUUCAUUCAUGUUAGUUUUUGAUAACCAUGGCAAUGUAUAUUGAAUGCAAAGAUCAAGAAAAUCAGCAUUAUAUU